UCUGGUGACUAUAGCAAGGAGGUCACACCUGUUCCCAUGCCGAACACAGAAGUUAAGCGCCUUAGCGUCGAUG
rnacentral:rRNA from 1 species